rnacentral:lncRNA from 1 species
UCCAAUGAAAUUUCACAUACUGUACUUUCCCCGCCUUAUUGAUAAGGGUAUAGGUGUUAACACCAGAGCCUUCCAUGUGCCUGUAAUCUUGUGGAACUCCCAGAUCAUCAAAUAGGAAGGUGAACAUGUGCAGGCUUUCUGGGUGGUGGGAGAAGAAGUCAAGGAUCCUCCAAGGCUCUUGAAUGUGCGACUUGGGGUUCGGUUUGAGAGCAUGGACCAUGUCCGGGAAUUUCAUUCCGUCACGAACAAAAAAGACAGGGAAAUUGUUUCCAACCAGGUCAAAAUUACCCUGUGUUUAAGAACAAAGUCGCCACAUGAGUACUAACAACACAGCAAAAUAAACCUGAAUAAAGUUGUAUAUAGUGAAUAAUAAUGUUACCAAGAAAUCAACCAUCUGUAUAAGCAUCUAGAUUACAGAUGGUAUGCUACAUGAGCAAUCUUUUACAGCCAGGUGACUACCCCCAUUAGUAAACGAAAAUGAAAAGGCAAAGAAAAGAAAGGAAUGAAUGCAAUCUUUCAUCAAAGUCACAAGACUGCAUAAUUUCCAACAACUAUAAUUAGUCAAAUAUGAAUUGAGUACUUCAUAUUUUGUCACCACAGCCACCUCAGCUGCCACUACAGACACCAAUACAUAUCCACUAAAUAUGCCUAUGCUAUUGAAAAUAAAAAUAAAAUUAACACAUUGAUAAUAUAAAGGUAAAAACCUCACCUCUCUGGUGUAAAACUUCACUGCAAAACCACGAGGAUCCCUCAGGGUUUCAGGGCUGCCACGCUCAUGGAUAACAGUGGAGAAACGCACAAUGACAGGUGUCUGAACACCGGGGGCUCGAAGGAAGUCAGCACAUGUAAGCUGAGAAAUAUCAUGAGUGACCUCGAAGAAUCCCUUCGCACUGGCUCCCCUAGCAUGGACAACACGCUCUGGGAUUCGUUCUCUAUCAAAGUUGGCAAGUUUCUCCACCAGAUGAUAGUCCUCAAGGAGAAUUGGGCCUGACAAAUAGACACAGAAAUUUAAUUCGGAACUGCACCGACUCAACUCACCAUAUUUAAGCAUCUAGAUUACAUGCAAAUAUAGGAUAAAAAUGAAAUUAGUUGUUAUACAUUCCAGAACAUCAAAUAAAGAUGAUUGCUGCUCAGUUGCAAAUAUUCGUAAUUUUUAUUUACAUUUAGAAGGUAGGUUUUCAGACAACCAGAUGAUCAAAAAACCCAUCUUGACAAACCAAAAGGAGGCUGGAGGAAUUAAAAGAGAACCAACAGUGCGGGAGAAUCAUUUUUCAACUAAAGUAAGCAUAAAAUUUUAAAAUAAAUGUCAAUAGGAAAAGGAUCAGCUUCAAAUACAAGAUAUAUAAGUAUAUAUACAUAUCUUAAAUCCCACAAGCGUUUCCAAAGAUUAAUCAUCCUCAACAUGGUAGUGGUGGGAAUAACAUCCAAAAAGCAGUUUACAGCUCAUAAUCACAUGAAUAUCAAAAUCUUGUUCAGAAAAGUUGAGAAAACCAUCACAAAAAUUCAAAACCCAGGUAAGCGAAGAACCAAUGAUAACAAAGAUGAAUAUAUACACACAAAUAGUGAAUAGCAUCAUAAGAUAGAUUGAACAUGAAGCGCAACUAAAAAAACAAUAAAAUAUAAAAUAUAAACUGUGUUGCAAUUGAAAAGCCAGCAUCAAUCAACGAAGAGUUGUGAUGAAUUACCUCUAGAUCCAACAGUCAAAGAAGAGUUGUUGUUCCAAACAGGAGCACCGGAGUUUGUGGUCCAGAAUGGGGAAUCAAAAGCACUUGAAGGGCGGUACUGCAACAUACACAACGAAAACGAAACAAGACCAUGAUGAGCUAAAAGAACAACAAACACAAAAUUUCGAGCUACGCUUAAAUGACCAAUCUGAUUGAUCAAGAAGAUUAAUUCAUCAAGAAAUCAAACUUAAACAAAUCAAGAGAUAUUAUAACAGGGAAAUGAGUACCUUGUAAGGAUCCAUGGAGAAAGAGGGGGAAGGAGGAGUUUGAUAAGAAGGUGAGAGAGCAGAGCAAAGCCACCCAAAGGGAGGGUCGUGUGGCAAAUGAGAAUCGAAGAGCGAAAUGUGAAAUUGGGGAAUUUAUAAACACUUGCGGGUCGUGGGCGUGGCUCGCGCUUCUGCGCAAAUUACCAAUCUCAGCAGGUUAUCUUUAUCCACACACAGAGUGGGAGGUCAAGAGAAGAGAAGACAUAUCUUUGCCAAUUUAGCGUCGCGAGUCAGAACGAUUCUCGCCAAACCUGUCAACGAAGCAUUCUUGUAUGCACAAUUGUGGCAAAACGUCCUUCACUCACUUCAAAUCUUUUACAACCAAUUUUAUGAGGAGGGAUUUUUUUACAAAAAAAAUAAAAAAUUAUACAAUUUUAUGAGGAGAUGGUAUGCAACAAAAAAACAGAGGGGAUUCAGAUUUUUUUUUUUUAAUGGAAAUUAUUGUCCAAAAACAAAAGAAACAUUGAAGAAAUUGAGAGUUCAAUUUAAAAGUAAAAGAGAUCAUUAAAAUGAGUAAAAGAGACUAGAAACACCAUAAUUGACUGUGUAAUUAUAAAAUAUAUGGAGUCGUUUUUUUAUUUUUCAAAUUUUGUGAACAUAUUAUCCCUAAAUAAUGAACACAAAAAUUGAUUUAAAUAUAAUGUUGGUGUUGAUUGCAAUUAAUAAUAGCUAACUAUAGAGAUUUGAUUGAAACAAUUAAAACAUUUCACCACGACAACAAGGUCAAGAAUGCAAGUUGUUUAUUAUUAUGAAUUGGUUUCAAGACGAACAAUUUAACAACAAAUUCCAAACCUCUAUAUUUAGGAUUCAUGCAUUUAUCUACAUUUUAUGAAACUAAGUUGCUCAAAUAAUCUAACCAUUUAACAUGACACAUCAUCAAUUUUUAACCUAAGAUUUUUUUAAAAAAAAAUUGAAGUUAAUUUUAAAGUUAACGUGCUUGAGGGGUUUUUUUUUUCAUCAUGCUUCCUCCUUGAGAAAACUGUGAAUAAAAUUAAUUAAUUGCUACUUAUCUUCAGCUUAUAUAUUGAACCCUAAAGCAUAAAGCGAACUUCAAAACUUUAAUUUUUUGGCCACACAAACUUGAGCAAAGUAUGUCUUAUCUUUUUCACAAGAUUAUUCACUCUCAUUCUAAAUUCAUCGUGAUAUGUUAAGAAAUAACAAGUUUCACGAUGAACUAAAAAAGAACUCUCAAGCACGUUAACAUUAACGUUAGCAUAAGUUUUUGGAAAGAACGAAAAAGACCUUAAUUUAAAGAUUGAUGAUAUGUCAUAUGAAUGGUUAAAUUAUUUAGUUUAAAUUUUACGAAAUAUAAAUAAAUACACGGAUUCUAAAUAUAGAAAUUUGAUAUUCAUUUGCCAUAAAUAUCACUUUAAGAGUGAAAAUCCAGAAUACUAAACUAAAAUUAUAUUUCUUCACAAAAAUUGCAUCUAAAGAUGAGGAUAAAUUGAUGUUCAUCCGGACAUUGAAAAAGCACAAUAUAUCGUGAAGAUAUUCGAUAUAUUGAAAACCUCGCCGAUAUUCAUGUAGGAAGGCUAAACGAUUUUUUUAUGGCAAAAACUUCAACAACAACAACAAAAAAAGAGGCCUGGAAAAUUAUUAUUAUCAUAAUCGUGGUGGGAAUUCAAAAUUGAAAAUAAUUGAGAACGUCAUGCAUUCAUCGUUCGUUAUCCAGGUCUUGGAGCUUUGCUAACACCUAGGCGCAACCACUUAAGGCAGUGGCGGGUAUGGGUGACGUGGUCCACUCACAAGACGCCACGACCACCAAAGUGUACCUUGAAACGCGUGCUCUUAGAAAAUAGCACAGAGAUUCUCUCUCUCAGGGGAUAUGCUUGAAAUUUAUGAACAAAACAGAAGGAAAAAUAAAAACAAACAAGAGGCUAUUUUUGGUGUUGUCUGUGUGAAAGCCGCCAAAACAGCAAAUAUGCUGAUAAGGUUAGAAUGGGCCGAGCUCAGAUUAGCCACAAAGACUGUUCCUCUCUGGGCCCACUUAUCAAUAUUUUAACAUUUUUUUUAAUGGAGCUCGACAAUGAACAAAUUUUGAAGGUAAUUACUUGAUGUUAGUUAGAGAACCUCUAUGUCUAAGGGAACUACGAGUUCAAGGAAGCUUUGAGGUAUGCUCAUGUGACCCUACUUCUUGUUCUUUAUGCAUAAACAUAUUCAAGUUGCAUGUUCAAGGCUUGCCAUCUAAUCAUUAUAUAAUAUUUUGAUCAUCUAUUAUAAAAAUAUAAAAAAAACUAUGUAACUGGGCCUUGGUGCAAUAAGAACUUAAGCAUUAGCUUCAUGUAUGUAGGAAAAGUAGCAAAUAAUUUCAAUUGUAAAAUGAAUGCUUUGGUUUCUUUUCUUGUUAAUGCCGUUUGACUGGUUGUUUUGUCUUAGUGGUUCUUUGACCUCUCUUUGGUCUUUUUAUUGAAAGUUAUGUUGAGAAACUGAAAUUAACUUAAACGUAAAAGGAUUUUUUGAGUAAACAUAUUUCACAGCAUAAGAAUACUGCAGUUUUCCUCUCUUAUAUAUAUCUGAAAAACAAAGCUUACAAAAUAACAAUCUCCACAAUAACCACUAACACACAAGUGCAGAUUUUGUGGAGUUCAACUACCUUAAGCAACGGAAGCAAAUUUGAACGUGGUGAACAGACUAAACCACAACUUCUACAUUCUAGGACUUCAGCUUGACUUGGUCUCUACAUGGCCAUGUCAGCAUUAUUUAAUUAAAAAACUAAUUAAACUUAACUAAAUAACUUUUAACACCCUCCCUUAAACUGAUUUUUACGAAAAACAGUUUAGGAUCUCUACACCAUCACAUAAUCAUCUUCCUGUUCAAUGCUUUGAAAUGAACAAACUCCCAACAUGCUUCUCAGCUUCUCAAGCGCAGGUACCAUCACAUAAUCAUCUUCCUGUUCAAUGCUUUGAAAUGAACAAACUCCCAACAUGCUUCUCAGCUUCUCAAACGCAGGUUGCUUCAAAGGCUUAGUUAAGAUGUCUGCAACCUGCUCCCCACUCUUGCAAUAUUCAAGUACAAUCUUCCCAUCACUGCACAGGUCACGCAAAAAAUGAAAACGUACAUCAAUGUGUUUACUUCUCCCAUGCAUGACUGGAUUCCUCGAUAGCUUUAUAGUUGACAUGUUGUCGCAGUAGAUGGUUGUUGGUCCCUUUUGAACAUCACCAAGCACUUCAAAUAUUUUCCUAAGCGACAUAGCUUGACAGGAGCUUGCAGCUGCUGCUACAUAUUCAGCUUCUGUUGAGGAAAGUGUCACAAUUUGUUGCUUCUUUGAGGACCACGAUAUUGCACCAGAGUUGAGCAGAAAUGUGUGACCGGAAGUGCUCUUACGAUCAUCUAUAUCACCUGCAUAGUCACUAUCUGUGUACCCAACAAAACCAGAACCAUCUUCCCUUUUAUAAAACACACCAUAAUCAAUUGUCCCCUUUACAUACCUGAGAAUUCUCUUUGCUGCAUUGAGAUGCAUUUCAGUUGGUUUUUCCAUAUAUCGGCUCACAAGACUCACUGCAUACAUGAUGUCAGGCCUCGUGUAUGUUAAAUACAUGAGACUCCCAAUUAUCUGUUUAUAGAAAGUGCUGUCAACCUCCUUUCCACCUUUGUCUUUGCAUAGCUUUAAGCCAUGUUCAGCUGGAGUUCCAAAUGGCUUGCAGUCAUCCAUCUGAAACCUGUUAAGAAUGUCCUGUGCAUAUUUUUUCUGGUAGAUGAAAUUACCAGCAGUAGUUUGAAUGACUUCCAAUCCAAGAAAAUAGUGCAUUAAUCCUAGAUCAGUCAUUUCAAACUCCAUCAUCAUAGACUUCUUGAAUUCAUCAAACAUUUUAGCAUCACUUCCAGUGAAUAUCAAGUCAUCAACAUACAAGCAUACCAUGAGUAUUUUACCUUCUUCCUCAGUCUUGACAUAAAGUGUGUGCUCAAAAGGACAUUUGUGAAAUCCAAGCUUAGCAAAGUGAGCAUCUAUGCGACUGUACCAAGCUCGAGGUGCUUGUUUCAGUCCAUAGAGUGUUUUCUUCAGUUUGAACACCUUCUCUUCUUCUCCUUUUCUCUCAUAACCAGGUGGUUGAUCAAUGUACACCUCCUCUUGCAGGUUUCCAUGCAGGAAUGCUGACUUCACGUCUAACUGAAAAAUUUGCCAGGAAUUUUGAGCUGCAAGAGAGAUCACUAACCUAAUCGUGUCGUGCCUCGCAACUGGGGCAAACACCUCUUUGUAAUCAAUGCCAUGCUUCUGCUUGUAGCCCUUAGCUACCAAACGAGCUUUGUGCUUGUCAACCUCACCUUUUUCGUUCAACUUUGUUCUAAACACCCAUUUAACACCAAUGGUUUGCUUUCCCUUUGGAAGAUCAGUUAACUCCCAGGUUUGAUUCUUCUCAAUGGACUUGAUUUCAUUGUCCAUUGCUUCCCUCCAUUUCUCCUCUUUAACAGCCUCAGUAUAUGUGAUUGGAUCACUAUCUACAAGUAAUGCAAAGUGAGCAUUUUCAUCAUCAGAACUUGAAUAACUUACAUCGUAGUCCAUCAUCCAUGCUGGCCUCUUCCUUGAGUUCUCAUCUCUCAAAUUGUAUCUCUCUUCUUCAAACUGUUGAGAUGACUGAACUUCAAGUUGAGGUGGCUGCUGGGCUUGAGUUUCAGGAGCUGCUACCUCUUCAUUGUCUAAAUCAUCAUAAACUGGAAUUUGUUGUUGAACCGAUCUGUUCUCAGACCAAUUCCACAUAGUGUCUUCAUCAAAUAUCACAUCCCUGCUUACCACUAUCUUCUUUGUAACUGGAUUGUACAGUUUGUAUGCUUUUGAGACUUCACUUACACCAAGAAAAACACAUUUUUCACUUUUGUCAUCCAACUUCUUUCUUUUCUCAUCGGGGAUGUGUGCAUAUGCUAUGCACCCAAACACCCUAAAGUGAUCAACCGCAGGCUUCAAUCCACUCCAAGCUUCUUGAGGAGUCAUAUUCUUAACAGAAAAUGUGGGACUUCUGUUUAAAAUAUGAACUGACCAUAGCACAGCUUCAGGCCAAAACUUCUUGGGAAUUCUUCCUUUGACUAGCAGACUUCGAACCAUGUUGAGAAUGGUGCGAUUUUUCCUCUCACUUACACCAUUUUGUUGUGGUGUAUAGGCAGUGGUCAACUGUCUCUUGAUGCCUUUCUCUUUGCAAAAUGCAUCAAAUUCCUUCGAACAGUACUCUCCCCCACGGUCAGUUCUUAGAGUUUUAAUCUUCUUUUCUGAUUCAUUUUCAACUAGAGCUUUGAAGCUUUUGAAUGCUUCAAAUGCCUCUGAUUUUUCCUGCAAGAAAUAUACCCAUGUCUUUCUACUAAAAUCAUCAGUAAAGGAGAUGAAAUAUUUCUUGUUACCAUUUGAGAUGGGAUUUAUUGGUCCACAUAGAUCAGAGUGAACCAUCUCCAGGAUUUAUUGAGCCCUUGCUGCCUUGCCACUUGGAAAAGAGUCUCUUUUGUGCUUCCCAGUGAUGCAUUCUUCACACAUCUUUGAUGGAGGAGUUAUAUCAGGUAAGCCAGUGACCAUCCCUUUCUGGUGAAGUGUUCUCAAGCCAUUAAAAUUCAAAUGGCCAUAUCUGUAGUGCCAUCUCCACGGGUCAUCUUCUUUGGCAAAUAAGCAAGCCUGCAGAGUCUUGAUUUUCAAAGGAAACAAUCUGUUGGAAGACAUUUUCACAACAGCAAUGGACCCUCUUUUUGGGUCGUACACUUCCCACUCUCCUUUAUAGAUUGUAAUCCUAUAGCCUUUAUCUUGUAACUGACCAGCACUCAGCAAAUUUGUCUUCAAAUCAGGAAUAUAAAAAACAUUUGAGAUAGUUUCAAUAAAGUCAUUUUUAGUUUUGAUUUGAAUAUCUCCCUUACCCAUCACUUUCACUGUUGACUUGUCACCAAAACUCACUACCGUGUGAAAGCUUUCAUCCAAAUUAAUAAAGGAAGACUUACAUCCACUCAUGUGAUUGCUGCAGCCUGUGUCCACAUACCAUGUCUCCUGAUCAGUUUUUGUCAGUGCAUGAAAAGCCAUCAAAAGUGUCUCUUCCUCCUUCUUUUUCUCCACAAAAUUUGACUUUUCUCCUUUUUCUUUUGGUAACUUCGUGUAGCACUCAUUCUUGUAGUGCCCAAAAUUUCCACAUCUAUAACACUCCACUUUUGACUUAUCAAAGUGGUACGUUCCUUUUUCUUCAAAGUCAUCAUCUCUUUUGAAAACAUGAGAUGACUUGCUGUCAUCUCUAUGUCCAGACCGUCCACCUCCUCGAUGACCUCGACCACCUCUUCCUCUAUCACGUCCACCUCUUCCACGACCUCUUCCUCCUCGAGAACUUGAGGACUCAGAAACAAUGGAAGCUUUCAGAGCUGUUUGUUCUUCACUGGCAGUGGUGCGGUUAAGUCUUUGUUCAUGCACUAACAAAGAGCUUUGUAGUUCAUCAACUCGUAACUCAGCAACGUUCUUUGCCUCUUCAAUUGAACAGACAAUGUAGUCAAAUUUUGGAGUCAAUGAUCUCAUAAUUUUCUCCACAACUUUGACUUCUUCCAUGGUGCCACCAUUGGAUCUCAUCUUGCUUGCUAUUCCCAGAGUUCUAGCAAAGAAAUCAGUGAUGGACUCUCCUGAUUUCAUUUGUAAAGUUUCGAAGUCCCUUGUUAGAGUUUGAAGCACUGCACGCUUCACCCUCUCUGACCCUGCAUAUUUCUUCUUCAAAGAAUCCCAUAUUUGUUUGGAGGUCUCCUUCUCGAGUAUCGUCUCCAAGAUAGAUCGAUCAAGUGCCUGAAAAAGGUAAUUUUUCACCCUCAAGUCCUUCAGCUUCUGUUCAGCAACCCUCUUUUGUUGUUGUUCAGUCAACACAACUCCCUCUGCUGGGGCGUCAAUUCCUGAUUCCACAAGAUUCCAAUACUCCUUUGACCUGAGAAAAUUUUCCAUCAGCAUGCUCCAAUGGUCGUAGUGACCAUCAAAUCGUGGAAUCGCUGGUUGAAUAAAACUCUCAGUGGCUUUCUCUGUUGCCAUUGUUUCUUGCUGCUGCAAGACACAAUCUUUCACCUUUUUUUCAAGUUUGUUCAGGCCCAGAAGAGCUCUGAUACCAGAUGUUGAGAAACUGAAAUUAACUUAAACGUAAAAGGAUUCUUUGAGUAAACAUAUUUCACAGCAUAAGAAUACUGCAGUUUUCCUCUCUUAUAUACAUCUGAAAAACAAAGCUUACAAAAUAACAAUCUCCACAAUAACCACUAACACACAAGUGCAGAUUUUGUGGAGUUCAACUACCUUAAGCAACGGAAGCAAAUUUGAACGUGGUGAACAGACUAAACCACAACUUCUACAUUCUAGGACUUCAGCUUGACUUGGUCUCUACAUGGCCAUGUCAGCAUUAUUUAAUUAAAAAACUAAUUAAACUUAACUAAAUAACUUUUAACAAGUUAAUCAAAUAAAAUAAAAAUAAAACAACAAUUAGAAGGGUUGCAAUUAGAUAGGCUUGCUAGGCUCCAAGAGGUGCAAGACUGUCUUUUGAUUAAAGUUCAAGCUCCCAAGUCCAAAUUUGGGGCACCAACUAGCCUAUCUCAUUGCAGGCGCUUAACACUUGAAGGGACUGGCGCAAUGAUUUACUAGUAAAAUUUGUAAUAGCUUAAGACUUCGCUAGUAUCAUUUAGUAGUUACAAAUCACUUUACUUCGCCAGUAGUGAGUCCCAAUAUCGGCUGAAUUGCUCUUUCGCCAGUAUUAGUCUGUCGGUAUAAGCUAAAAUUGUAGUAGUGUAAGCUAAUUCUUGAUUUACUGUAAUUAUUCCCUUAUCGGUUAAAACUUCAAAUCAUCAAAGAAAAUCAAAGCACUCUCUAAGAAUUUCACCCUUUAAGAGUGCAUUGAGGCAAACCUAAAAAAAUUCUUCUUCAUCAUCAUCUUGUCACGCUUCCUGAAUCCACCAUAGGAGAUUUUAGUUUGGCCCUCUGGAUGUCCUCUUUUAGGUCUUUACGCACCGCUUCUUGGGGCUUAUCACUUGAGCUCCCAAAGAUCACUCUCUUAGCUUCAGCAAAACUUCCGUCGUGAUCUCGUUUGCGUUUCCCUAGGAUCUCCAAGGCCUCCAGCUGUUUUUGCAUCUCUUUAGAAUAAGAAGUUACCAUCUUUGAUAACUUUUCAUUUUCUGCCUGCAAUAUUUGAAGCUAGCGUUGAUUCUCCUCUGCUGUUUUUUCCUCUUUUUUUUUUUUUCAAUCUUUUGAUCUCACGCCGAUAUUCAUCAACCAAAUUCUGCUCUGCCACAACUAAGCUCUCAGUACUUGCACCUCAUAAGAUUUUGCAAUGAGGCGAUGCCCCACACUUGUGAUAGUUGUCGCAUUUUGCAAGCACAGUGCCACAACAUUGCUCACUAACCGGUUGUCAUCCCCCGUUCCUAGUAUGCAUACAUCCCUGGGAGUCACCAAACUCUUCGCAACUCCAAUGGCAACCUCGUUGUCAAGGAGUAACGAGUCGCUUUUUGUCACUGGUCCUCGUGAAGAAGCAAAGUAGGGUAUCCAGACUGGUGCAACUCCUUGCCCCUAUGUCUGUGUUGGCGGAGCUAGGUUAAGAUCCAAAGAAGAUGAGAAGGGAUACGACAUUUUCUUUCUGCUUUCUUUUUCUUUCAUUUUCUCUCUUUUCUCUUUCUUCUUUCCUUUCUCUUUUCUUUCUUUCUUUUCUCUCUUCUGCGUGGUUGUAAUUCUUCUUUUUCCUUUGUUUCCUUUAAUAGAUGAACCCUAGCACCAUUGCACCGUCUAAUUUUUCCGCAUUCCUUGAGCUCCACAGCCUUCUCGCUUUCCACCGUCUACAACUUUGUCGCGACUUGUGCAACGUCGUCCCUACUAUCCAUGGCACCCAUAAUUCCGCUUGUAGAUUUGUCGUACCUCUGCGCGUCGACACAUGUCUCCUCUCUCUAGGGGUGGGCAUUGGAUUUGUGGUUCAAAUUGAUUUAGGGUUGAUUAAAAUAAAAUGGCAGCCCUAGAAACAGUGACCAGGUAUCUAUCCCAUAUGACAUAAAACAUUUAAAAACAUCCAUGGGACUAUAUUUAAAAAAUCAACUUGAUAAUGUUUAGUUGGAUUGUAUAAUGUGUUUUGUUUUGUUUUGUUGGAUUAUAAAAUGUUUAAGUUUCUGUUUUUUUGUUUAUUUAUAAAAUCAUCCAUGGGACUUCAUUUUCGGUUCAAGGUUCCAUUUUUUUAAGAAACCAGUCCAAAUCGGACCAUGCCCACCCCUACCUCUCUGUCUCUUUUUUUGCUUUGUUUUCCUUCUCUCUCUCUCUCUCUCUCUCUCUCUCUCUCUCUCUCUCUCUCUCUCUCUCUCUUCCUUAUAUAUUCUCUCCUCUCUCUGUUUUUUUAUUUAAAUUUUUUCAAUUGUGAGUUUUGUAACAUGCAUGUUAUUUUAUUUAUGAACCCAUUACACGACUCCAAACUCACACAAAAAAAGACGACCCGAACCCAAGAAGACAUGUUUAUUAAAUGGGUUAGAUUCGGGUUGAGCAUUCUUGACACGUUUGUUAAUUGGAUUGGGUUAAAUAAAUCAAUGACAGCAUAAAAUGAACACAGGGUUUGUGAAAAAUGUGAUAUUUUCAAUGACUAUAUUAAUAAAUCUUUAUUUUUUGAGUAGUUAGAUUUUUGCACAAAGCUUACCUUCCUCAACUGAUAGCUGCAUUGAUCUUUUGUCUAGCUCAACGGCGUGUCUGCUAAGCUCAGAUGGUGAUAAUUGACGAAGCGCUGGCAACAUGAUGAACGAAGAGCAUUUUCAGUGCUGGCAAAACUAAAGGCAGAAAAAUUGUAUGAAAUUUUUUAAAUUGAAAGAGCAGUGCCAUAAUAAAAUGACCUACUCUGGAUCUAUUCUCUCUGAUCAGAAUCAUCAAAUUGCUUCAAGAGGUUCUUGAAAUGUAGAAACCCUUCUGUCCUUUGCUCAUCAUGGUUCUUCUCAGAACCAACCAAGUGAGGAACCAGAGAUUCAGGAGUGAAUCUAAGUUGCCUGGAAUGAGCAGCUGGCAAUCCAUUGGAACAGGUGGUUUACCAGGUGAAAAAUCUACCGGAGAAGCCAAGGGCAUUGGUGCGAACGCAGAUGUCUCAUGUUCCUGCUUCUUGGUUCUGUCUCUAGGUAGGUCUUGCUGCUUUUGCAAACAAUAUCGUUUGAAAUUGAGAGAGUAAGUAUUUUGUUCUCACACCUUUAACUCUUCGCUUGCCUAAUGCUGAAUCUAACUUCCUCGCACUACCACCAUGCAUGAGCUGAUCACUUGCACUGCUGAUGCUCGUGAAUUGGUGACAAGGGGAGCUCCGUGGCAACUCAGGGUUGAGUAUCUUAGUUCCCAAAACCUUAAUGGGAUGCGCGACUGGUCGUCCUAGAAAAACAUACUUGUUAGGGUUAGAGGUCCAUCGGAGUAGUCAUUAGCUGCUAAUCAACCCGAGAGAGAGAGAGAGAGAGAGAGAGAGAGAGAGAGAGAGAGAGAGAGAGAGAGAGAGAGAGCAAAGAAGAAAUGUGGGGCGUGUUUUUUUUUUCCUAAUCUUAUAAUUAAGCGUGUGUUUUCUAAAUCGGGGCAUGUGAGUUGUAUUAGUCGGGUAAUGAGAGUAUUAAAAACUUUCGUUUAAUAUAAUUCAGUAAUUAAGUAAUACAAGUUGACAUCAAACAAAUGACAUUGACUAUUUACUCAUAUCCAUAGUCUAAUACCAUGUACCAAACAUACCUAUACGAGCUUUUGCCACAUGACUCAUCUAACAUGACAAUCCAAGUCCACAAACACAAGCAUACACACUAAGACAGGACACUCAUAUGCAUGUGAACUACAAGAACGACUGCAUAAUAUCUUGUAUAGAAACAAGACAAUACAACCGGCGCUUAUUACAUUGGAACUACAGUUCACAUUACAUACCAAAUUUAGUAUAACACAGAUAGGAAUUCAAACAUUUGACUUGGCAUAACCCUCAAAUGCUUGGCCUCACAUUGAGACGGGAUAAAAGCUUUUGACCCAGAGACUUAUCUGCCUGCAUUGCCAAUACAAGCACAUAACAUCAGAACAACAUGGCUUAUUCUAAAACUAACCCUUCAUAUUCCAGUAUCACAUCAUCACGUUGCUUAACGGUACAAAUUCACAAAUGCAAUAAUUUAUAAAUAGACUCACCUGAGACCAGUAUGAGAUCCAAAUGCUGCGAAUCUCAUGGGUGACACGAGGGUCUGAUAGGGCAUCCACCCAUCGGCGGAUGAAUCGCUCUUGCCUGCAUGAAGAUGCAAGAUUAAGAACAAUGUUUAAAUACAAUUAUUUUCAUACAGAGACAUCACAGGGUUGCCAGGUACCUGUCUGGCGCCCAAGAUCUGUAUCUCUCUCCAGGUUGCUUAAAGUUGUUCUCCUUCUCAAUGACGCACUGAAUAACCAAAACAAAGUUCCCAUAUGAAUUAUUAUGUGCAGAAAACAAGGAAAAUCCAGAAAUGCAAUCGGUGCAUAUGUAUACACACACACACCUACACUAGUGUAUGUGCCCAGGUGACAGAAAAAGGGACACAGCUGGAAGAAAAGAUGAUGUACAGACGAGACGGGGAAACUAAGGUAUAUUAUUUAAAGCAAUAUUCCUCAAUUGAUAGAAACUGACCUUCUCACGCUUUCCAGAAAGGAUAUUAGAAGGAAUGGGGUAGCGCUCAGCAUGACGAACAGGAUCAUGCCUUGAAGGGAAGUAAUUAACCUGAAAAUAACAGUAUAGCAACUCAUCAGAGAAAACUCAAAUGAAUAAACAUGCAUACAAUUGGAGUUGUCCUCCCAGAAUAUUGAGCAAUCGAAGUAUACAAGGGCCAAAGCGAUUCCAUAUGAGACAUAACAAUUGAGUAAAAUAAUAAUACCUCCUCAUCCCUGUGCAUGAAAUUCAUGAAUCCCUCAUGAUGAUUGUUAUGAUGAGGACACUUGGGAGCAUUCACUGGGAGCUGCAGAUAGUUCGGGCCAAGACGGUGCCUCUGAGUAUCAGAAUAUGCGAAGAUUCGAGUUUGGAGCAUCUUAUCAUCUGAAUAGUAGAUACCAGGGACAACAUGGGCAGGGUUAAACGCAAGUUGUUCAUUCUCUGCAAAGAAGUUAUCGAUGUUUUUAUUCAGAACCAAACGGCCAACUGGCUGCAGGGGAAGGAUAUCUUCAGGCCAGGUCUUAGUUAAGUCAAGAGGGUCAAAGUCAAAUCUGUCCUCGUGAUCAGGAUCCAUUGUCUGAAUAUAAAGUUUCCACUCAGGGUAGUUGCCAGCUGCAAUGGAAUCAUAGAGGUCCUUGGUAGCAUGGCUGUGAUUAGCUCCUCCAACCUUAAUAGCUUCAUCCUCCAACAAACACUUGACUCCACAAGUAGGUUUCCAAUGAAAUUUCACAUAGUGUACUUUCCCUGCCUUACUGAUGAGGGUAUAGGCGUGAACACUAGAGCCUUCCAUGUGCCUGUAAUCUUGUGGAACUCCCAGAUCAUCAUAAAAGAAGGCGAACGUGUGCAGGCUUUCUGGAAGGUGGGAGAAGAAGUCAAGGAUCCUCCAAGUCUCUUGGAUGUGCGACUUGGGGUUCGGUUUGAAAGCACGGAUCGC